GUCACAUAGGAAGCCCUGGGGAAUAAAUUAAGGUCAUCACACUUCAAACAAGAAGAUACUGAGAAGCAAGUGAUUUCUAGUGCUUCCUUAAUGACUGUGUUUCAUUUUCUUGUGCGUGAAGUUCUCUGAAACAUCUUCAGCUUUGCCUUCCAAAGAUUCACAAGAAAUUCAGGCAGAGUGACAGUGAAAAAUGUUGAUAUAUCAGUAGCCUGGGACCCUGCUUGCUCUGUUGCCCAAAGCAUGAGAGAUCCCAACAGGAUGCUCCCCUGCUCUUAGUCCAGUACUGGUUUCAAGUCUGCAGAUGCUGAAGAUGGGUCCCUUAUGGCUGUCGGUGAUGUACGUCCAGCUGUUGCAUCACGCUCUGCUCACACGCAGAGGAACAUUUCAAAGUGCCAAAAACUGGUUAUUACAUUAUUUAGAAAACAACAAGAGAAAAAACACCAACCAACCAACCAAGCAAUAAAACC
rnacentral:lncRNA from 1 species